UCUAUGUCGGCGACCGGCGCACGGGUGCGUAACGCGUAUGCAACCUACCCAUUACAGGGGGAUAACACUGAGAAAUCGGUACUAGUACCCCAUAACAUCCAGGGAGGCAUCUUCUUGGGUUGAAAACUCCGGUGGUAAUGGAUGGGCAUGCGUUGUAUUAGUUAGUUGGUGGGGUAACGGCUCACCAAGACAACGAUACAUAGGGGGACUGAGAGGUUAACCCCCCACAUUGGUACUGAGACACGGACCAAACUCCUACGGGAGGCAGCAG
rnacentral:rRNA from 1 species